UCCCAGUCUUUAUAUGCCCCGGAUUACACACAUGUUGUUUGUGGAUUUAAAUGAUAAUUUUUCAUGCAAAGAAAACUAAACAUUUUCCCGAAGAAGUUUGAUAAUGUUAGGUUUUUUCCAAGGGGAGGAUAAAAGCAUCAAAAGACGUGAAAACCAUUAUAAGUUUGGGCAUGUGGAGAGUUUCAGUUAUGCCGAUGGGGAGAUUGUCGGUUUUGUUGUUUCUCAUUGUGUUUUCUCUACAGACUAAUUGCACAAUAAACGGUCAUACUCUUGACAGGAAAAAUUAUCAUUUAAAUCCACAAACAACAUAUGUGUAAUCCGGGGCAUAUAAUGACUGGGACCAGAAAAUAAUUAUUUUCUCUCCAUUGAAACCCAUUCAUAUUUUUCGAUGUCAUAGGUCCCAUGGGCUCUACCGGAAGGGUCGUGACUUCGCCACUCUAUGAUAGGGCUGAUUGGCUAUCGCGGCACGUGUAGGCGCGUCAAAAGUUAAUUCUUUUUAACUCCACGCGCCUCUAAUGCGCGUAACGCGUUCAGUGUGGCCGUACCUUAACAGUAAAUCAACGGACGGAUUGUUUUGUUUGACUCCCAUCGCAGCACAGGGUUUAUUAUACAACACAUAUAAUAAUGACACUGUGGUCGUUUAUAGUCUGAAAAGACUCAAAUUGAACAUCCUAGUUUUACGUUGUGAAACAGCCUUCUGCUGAAACAUGUUAUACGUCAAAGACAUAUUCAUAAACAAUAAAUAUUCAAAAUUAUCUUCCAACAGUUGCUUCUACUUCCAGUUAUGUUCGCUCUUGCCUUGUGUGAGUUCAACACCGCCCUCUAGUGUCCACGGGGGAAUUACAUGCAGAAGCAGGUUUCAGGCUUCUGGCAGAUCGAUGACUGCAAGCACACAAGGGGGUCUGCUCUACACCGGACUACUGGGAAGGCAUAGGAAGGUGAGGCUGGGUCCAGUGCUCAUCACGGGUCAGGUGCGAUUGGGUUCCCCCCCGGCUCUCCCAGUCUCCCAGUCUCAUAGACUUGGUACCCCUAGCCCAUUCUGCCAGCGAUUUCAAUCGCCCUGCAUUAGGGUCUGGAGAAGAGCAACACAUUUCUUUCUGCUUCCCAUACGUUUUUGCGGGAGCCUAUCACCAGGCUGGCUUUUCCCCUGGCGCGCUAUUGACUGAUUUAACACAAUGACGACAGGAAGGUGAUGGCAAGCAGCCAAUUACGUACAGAGUCGUUUGAACUAGGCCCGUUGAUCACGCCUCUUGUGCUGAACAAUAUGACCGCAGCCUCCCCAGACCAACGUGCAAUCUACAAUUGAGCUUGGUCUGGCAAUAGCCAGCCUCCCAGUCUCCCAGUCUCCCUGUCUCCCACACUGGAGAAUAAAUAGUCUGAAGCCUCAGUUAUGAUGUCAGAGAUGGGGUCCCUGACCGGAGCUCCUCUACCACCCGUGAAGUCUUGAUCCGUCCGACUCCACACAGCCUUCUGGAUCUCAUUCUCCCGGCGGCCAUGUUGGCUCCAGGUUGACUCCUCCCACUAUCUGGUUGGGGGAACUGGAUGUAGAAUUUGCCGUUCAGACGACGUUAAAAUGCAGAGUGAAGCAGCGGAAGAGGAUUGAGGUCUUGUUAGUCUUUUAAAGGAAGUGUUGGCUGUUCAGCUUGCAGCUCCUUCUAGGCCAGCAUCCUGUCUCGGUCAGUUGCAGCGACGACACGGAAGACAUAUUUACAAACACAGAUACAGACACUGUCCAACUGAAGCGUCCAAACGACCUCAGAUUAAACCUGCUCGUUAAAGGUCCUUAAAGCAGGAGUUCAUAUGCAGACCCAUGCACUGACCCAUGCAAGGCGUGACUGUGUGUGUGGACGAAGGUUGGAUCGCUGAGGUCUCUGAGACGUGGGGGGGUGUCCAAGGUGGUCUCUUCUGAGGCCGGUUCAGCCCAGUGUGCUCCAGUCCAAACCAGUGGCGGGCGGUUCUGCGGUCAGAGAGGGGAGGGGGGGUUUCCGGGGGAUGGCCGGCUUCGACGGAGGGGGAGGAGCCCGUCUGGAGGAAACAGAGAUGGAGAGUCACCGUGACAACCUACUUCAGCAUCAUCAUCAUCAUCAUCAUCAUCAUCAUCAUCAUCAUCAUCAUCAUCAUCAUCAUCACAGCCUUGCACACACACAUUACACAAUCUCUCUCUUACUCAGUCACACAA
ensembl:lncRNA